rnacentral:lncRNA from 1 species
GUAAACAUACUAAUGUCUUGAUAAAAAAUUGGGUUAUUUUCAUAUAUUUUUUUGCAGGAAAUUCAAAAAGCCUAGUUACGGCAUCCCCCCUCCCCGGUUCUGAAUGUAGUCGAAGAAAAUGACUUCCAAGUUUUGUAAAGAAAUGCUUGCUCAGAUCCUACGAUUUUACAGUAUAAAAUGAAAAUAAAGGGGCAUGAUACAUGUAUAUACUAAUGUUAUUGUAAAAUGGUGUGGAUUACAUCAAAAACGCAAGGAAUAAAUGAAAAUCUGUUAAAAAACAAAAAGUAUUUACUAAAAAUCAUUCAAAAACAACAAUAAUAUAUGGAAAAAAGGUGUUCCAAACGUCAAACACCGGCCGCUUUAUUAAUUUUAUAUUGCUAUUUCUAAAUCUUUAUUAUUAGUACAAUUUCAUUAUUUUUUGAAUAGGGAACAUUAUUGUCGUGUAAGUGUGCCAUUAAACAUUUAUAGCAAUUGAUUUAGAUAUUUAUAAACAUGUCAUUAAGCAAUGUAAAUUGACCGAGAGGAAUUUCAACCUGCAUGUACAUGUAAAUAAACUAAUGACCCGAAUAAACGUGUACACUGUAUGUGUACAACAUGUAUUGUUUAGUACAAGAGAAAUCAAAAUGUAAGUAUUUAAUAUAAUUUUUAAUGAUUAAUCGACGUAUGUGUGAUAAACAUCCAGUGGCAAAUAUUUCAGAAAUAUUAAGGAGGAGAACACAUUUUAUGUCACUUACUACAACUGUUGACAAUGCUGC